ensembl:lncRNA
AUGGAAAAAAAAAAUACAAAAGAUGCCCUGAUUAAUAAAGUAAUUAAUGGCUGUCCAUCAUCCGCAGGACCCCGAGGUGCAGAAACACGGCACAUCCUGAGAAGGAUGCUGGAGCAGGAGGAGGCAGAGCUACAGAACCUUCUGGAGGAACAGUCUCGAAACCCCUCGCCUUCAUUAGAGGAGCGAAUAGAAAGUGCCAAACGAAGAGCCAGUCAAGUGCGAAGAUCCAGCAGGAUGUGGACGGCACUCGAUCAGAAGCUGUCGCUAACUAUCUCACGGCUGGAGAAGGUCGGUUAUCGAUGGACUCCAGUGAAGGAGACGUCGAGGUGAGUUUCAUUCACUUUACAGCUUUUAGAAGCGACUCCCAUCAAAAUCAUAUGUGUGUGAAUAGAAGUGAAGAGUAAGGGUCAUUGCACACCGAGUCUGAUAUUUUCACACUUUGAACAACCCUCUACAUUGCGAGUAAAUCACUCACAUAUGCGACUAAAUCUUCACUCUGGGCGACUAAAUGAUGUCUAAUAUUAGACUCUGGUUAAUAAAUUCUCAGAUUUAAAUCGCCAGUGUGCGAGUUGGAGGCUAAGUAUUAGUAAGUUUAGUUUGUUGCUAAGGUCUGAUCUUAGACCAGUUUCUACUGUGUCCCUCAGGGCUCGAUUUUAGGACCUUUACUUUUUAGUCUUUAUUUCCGACUUCAGCAUAGUAAUGAUACUUGAUACCAAGAGAAGUUGGAAGUUUAGCACAGAUAUAUUUUCACUCGCCGAUCUCUGACUGAGCGCUUCAGAGAUUCUCUCUCCGUCAAGCAAUCUGUGCUAUUUUUCAGUUCAUCUAAACUCUAGUGUGAAGCGCACGACCUGCUGUCGCUUUGUUUUUUCUCACACGCAGAGAAAUAGAGAGAAUUGACGCACUACAUGUAAACAAUAGUCAUUGUUGUAUUUUCCUGUCAAAAUAACGGUGUUCGNUUCUUCAGCUUUUAAGAUCUGCUGGGUUUUCUGAAAGUGGGAGGGAUUAACGUGCAAACGGCAAUCUCAUUGGCUGGUGCUCACCUAAUAUAGCAGAUCAGUUCGAGCGAACGCACACAACCUGAUUAAUAUUCAUGAAUCCACCAGUUUAUUAAACCUUAGUGCGUUUUAUAUUGUUCUUAGUAGAAUUCGUAUUAGCCUGUUAUUAUUAGUAUUAUUGUUAGUUUUUCCCCCUUUUUUUUUUUUUUUUUACAGAAACACUGAAUGACCAAAAAAAGCACCAGCACCAGUCCUAAGUUCAGUUAAAACGACUAAUAUGCAUUCAUAUAUAUCAUAACACUUAACUGACUGAUGUUAAGAGUUUACAGUACAGUACACUUCCUUAUUUCAGAUGCGAUUAAUCGCGAUUAAUCGUUUGACAGCACUAAUAUGUAUAUGUUAUAUGUUAAUAAAAAUAUCUCAGUGUGGCGAGUAAACUGAAACAUUUACUAGCCUGAGUAAGCUGAUUUACUAGCCAAUGGCGAUUCAAUUGCCAAGUUGUCCGUAGAGCAUUGUUAAAAAAUAAAUAUGACCUCAUGUGAGAAAUAAAAAAAUAAUAAAGUGAAAAAUCAGAGCAACUUUUAUUUAAUCACUUUUAAAAAUUGAGGAAAAUACAUCAAAAAAAUGUUGAUACGGAUGAGCACGUUUAUACUUGCUUAACUCUACUUUCAAAACUUUUCCAUUGUUUAUUUGUGUUUCAGAGGCAUUACCGAAACUUGAUUUUAUUUGUAUUAUUUUAGUAUUUUAUUAUUAAUGGACAUCAUGCUACAGAACUAAACCGAGCCUGGAAUUUGUAUUUUUUAUUUUUAUUAUAAUAUUAUUCUGAAUGAAUGUAAUUGAUUUUAUUUAUUUAUUAUAACUUUUAUUUUACAAUUUAUUAAGCCUUCUAAACUCGUGCUUCACGUGAAUAUUUACCCAUUAUGUCGUCAAAAUCGGAGCAAAAUAAUCACCGAAUAGACUGACAACAGCUUCAUACAUUGACUGUGUGCCUGUCACAUGCUGAGCAUCUUUAAUAAAUGAUAGUAAGCGUGUAAAUAUGUCAGUAAGAAGGUUCACUGGUUGUUUAUAGUGAAAUCUAAAUACUUGACUUCCUCAAAUGAAUGAGCAGCCCCGGGUGAAGCAGAAACUGUGUGAAAUACGAGAGAAGCCAGGGCUGUUUUUCACUGCGAUGGGAAUGUUUAGCAUCCUAUGCGUCAAGCGUUUCUCCUCAGGCUUCUCCUCCUGACAGCCCCAGACAUGCCUGUCUCCUCAUUCUGUUUGUGUUUGAAGAUGAUACAUCUAUGAAAACUACACCAGCCAAAGUGGUUAUGACCCUCAAGCCUCAGACUUCAGCGUGUUUAUGGGUGAAAUGGCAGACGUGAGCAGUUUUAGGAAAUUGUAAGCUAAAUCUAAGGCUGUUUUGAGACACACAUCACUCAGUGCUGACUGUGUGAAAUCAGUUUUUAUACCAGCUAUGUUUCCAUCAGCAUAUUUUUUAUACAAAUAUUGGGACGUUGCAUAAUAAUAACAAUAAUAAUAAUAAUAAUAAUAAUAAUAAUAAUAAAAGCCAAGAUGUGCAUAAAAUCUUAAAAUGUGCAUUAAAAAUUAUAUUUUUUUAUCCUGUCUCACCGGAGUGGUUUUUGGAAACGGUGCAUUAUUAGCAGAUGUUUUUUGCAUUAUUAAUUUUGUUUUUUAAUUUAUUAAAUUCACCACUUUUAAUGCAAUAUUAGAUUUUUUUUUUAAAUUCUCAUCUUUGCUUUAACGUGCAGUAUUUACAUU